UACGAAGGGUGCUAGCGUUGUUCGGAAUGACUGGGCGUAAAGGGUUCGUAGGCGGUGCGGCAAGUUGGGAGUGAAAUCUCUGGGCUUAACUCAGAGGCUGCUUUCGAAACUGCCGCGCUAGAGUGCGGGAGAGGCGAGUGGAAUUACAGGUGUAGCGGUGAAAUGCGUAGAUAUCUGUAGGAACACCCGUGGCGAAGGCGG
rnacentral:rRNA from 1 species